rnacentral:rRNA from 1 species
AUUGAACGCUGGCGGCAGGCCUAACACAUGCAAGUCGAACGCGUGGCGGACGGGUGAGUAAUGUCUGGGAAACUGCCUGCUGGCGGGGGAUAACCACUAGAAACGGUAGCUAAUCCCGCAUACCAUCAGAUGUGCCCAGAUGGGAUUAGCUUGUUGGUGGGGUAAGGGCUCACCAAGGCGACUAGCGCUCACUGGUCUGAGUGGAUGACCAGCAACAAUGGAACUGAGAAACGGUCCAGACACCGACGGGAGGCAGCAUUGGGGAAUAUUGCACAAUGGGCGCAAGCCUGAUGCAGCCAUGCCGCGUGUAUGAAGAAGGCCUUCGGGUUGUAAAGUACUUUCAGCGGGGAGGCGUUACCCGCAGAAGAAGCACCGGCUAACUCCGUGCCAGCCGCCGCGGUAAUAC